rnacentral:rRNA from 1 species
AUUGAACGCUGGCGGCAGACUUAACAAAUGGAAGUCGAGCGAGGGGCGGAAGGGUGAGUAAUGUCUGGGAAACUGACGGAUGGAGGGGGAUAAGUACCGGAAACGGUAGCUAAUACCGCAUACCAUAAGAUGUGCACAGUGGGGAUUAGCGAGUAGGUGGGGUAAUGGCUCACCUAGGCGACGAUCCCUAUCUGGUCUGAGAGGAUGACCAGCCACCGUGGAACUGAUACACGGUCCCAACGCCUACGGGAGUCAUCAGUGGGGAAUAUUGCACAAUGUGCGCAUGCCUGAUGCAGCCAUGCCGAGUGUGUGCAGAAGGCCUUCGGGUUGUAAAGCACUUUCAGCGAGGAGGCGUUACUCACCGAAGAAGCACCGGCUAACUUCGUGCCCGCAGCCGCGGUAAUAC